rnacentral:lncRNA from 1 species
AAAAUAUUGUUAGACAAGAAUUAAAUAAAAAAGAACACAGAUGGAUGUGUUGGCUUAAAUGGGCUAGUAUCCUCUCCUGUAGCGGUAGGUCAUGUUGAGUCGAGUCAUGUUCGAAAUAGCAUGAGGCUGGGUGGACCGAGUCAUGUUCGAAGUGGCGUGAGGCUGGUUGGGCCCAGUCACAAUCGAGACCUGUGGGCGCUGUAUCUGUACGUUUUAAGUGAAUUGAUUGCGUAUUUCUAACAGUUCGAGAUUUUGGGAUUAAUGGUUAGCCCCAACGAUCCGACAGAAUGAGGAUGACUAAAGGAAAUAGUACUGUUCUUUUUCUUGAAAAAGCCAUAGGCAUUUUAUUAAAGUAGAGUUCGAUGACAUCUUUUAUUUAUCUAAUGGUCGUAAAUAAAAAAUUUGAUUUUUACUCCUUUAAAAAUCUUGUUGUCUAUAAUUUAGUAUG